rnacentral:lncRNA from 1 species
CAUAAACCUAGUGUGCGUGCAGCAUUCAGCUUGGCCUGCCUACAUAUUACACUUCUGAUAUUUGAAGAGGAAGGAGGAUUGAUGUAAAUAUGAAGCUUAUGUUAUCUACCAUGCUAUGCUUGUUGUCCUGUUUUGAUCCUCUUCAAAAGGUGGUUUAUAAUCAACUGUAAGACUUUGACAGUUGCUCUCAACAUUCUUCUAAAUAAGGAAGGAAGGAAAAGAAAGAAAGGAAGAAAGGAAGAAAGAAAGAAAGAAGAAAGAAAGAAAGAAAGAAAGGAAGGAAGAAAGAAAGAAAGAAAGAGGAGCCUGGAAAAUCCAGUUUGUAUGACCAGGGAGAAGAAUGGAUUAGAGCAGCCACUAGUCAGUCUCUUCCAAGCAAGAAGGACCACCCCUGAGCUGUUUUCCAGCUGGACAUGCCUGGACCUGUAUUCCACUCCUCUCUAAAAUGCACCUUAUUUUUCUUCAUUAAAUUCUGUUACUUAACCCUUGCUAUAUGUCUCUUAGCUAAAUUCGUUCUUCGAAGUUAGACAAGAAUGGAGGAUUCCUGCACUUCCUGGUAAAAGAAGUAUUAUGUUCCCCAAAUUGUAGGAAUAAGGAGGAUUUUAGUAUUUGUUAGGACACAUUUCUCUUACCCACUUUUGCAUGCACAUUCUUGUUAGCCGAUGAUAUUUAUGAAAUCUUCAGGGUAUAAAAUGAUCAAACAUCACGUUACUUUGCUCUACAAGAAAAAAUAUUGGGAAAGGCAUCUGAAGGGUGCACUUGAGAAAAAUGUUGAAGACAGCUGGGUUCUCAAAAGCUAUGACAAAGUAUUUUAAGAUUUGGUUGAGUGUGUGAUUUGUGUGUUUGAUUUGUGUAUUUGUGUUGAGUUGAGUGAAAAGCCAUCCUGAGUGAAAAGAAUAAAACCGGAAGAAUUGCAUUACCUGAG